UACGACGGGGGCUAGCGUUGCUCGGAAUUACUGGGCGUAAAGGGCGCGUAGGCGGCACUGUUAGUCAGGCGUGAAAGUCCUGGGCUCAACCUGGGAACUGCGCUUGAUACGGCAGAGCUAGAGGAUGGAAGAGGCUCGCGGAAUUCCCAGUGUAGAGGUGAAAUUCGUAGAUAUUCGGAAGAACACCAGUGGCGAAGGCGACUUACUGGACACAUAUUGACGCUGAGGUGCGAAAGCGUGGGGAGCAAACAGG
rnacentral:rRNA from 1 species